UAAGCGACUAAGCGUACACGGUGGAUGCCCUGGCAGUCAGAGGCGAUGAAGGACGUGCUAAUCUGCGAUAAGCGUCGGUAAGGUGAUAUGAACCGUUAUAACCGGCGAUUUCCGAAUGGGGAAACCCAGUGUGUUUCGACACACUAUCAUUAACUGAAUCCAUAGGUUAAUGAGGCGAACCGGGGGAACUGAAACAUCUAAGUACCCCGAGGAAAAGAAAUCAACCGAGAUUCCCCCAGUAGCGGCGAGCGAACGGGGAGCAGCCCAGAGCCUGAAUCAGUGUGUGUGUUAGUGGAAGCGUCUGGAAAGGCGCGCGAUACAGGGUGACAGCCCCGUACACAAAAAUGCACAUACUGUGAGCUCGAUGAGUAGGGCGGGACACGUGGUAUCCUGUCUGAAUAUGGGGGGACCAUCCUCCAAGGCUAAAUACUCCUGACUGACCGAUAGUGAACCAGUACCGUGAGGGAAAGGCGAAAAGAACCCCGGCGAGGGGAGUGAAAAAGAACCUGAAACCGUGUACGUACAAGCAGUGGGAGCCUCUUUUAUGGGGUGACUGCGUACCUUUUGUAUAAUGGGUCAGCGACUUAUAUUCUGUAGCAAGGUUAACCGAAUAGGGGAGCCGAAGGGAAACCGAGUCUUAACCGGGCGUUAAGUUGCAGGGUAUAGACCCGAAACCCGGUGAUCUAGCCAUGGGCAGGUUGAAGGUUGGGUAACACUAACUGGAGGACCGAACCGACUAAUGUUGAAAAAUUAGCGGAUGACUUGUGGCUGGGGGUGAAAGGCCAAUCAAACCGGGAGAUAGCUGGUUCUCCCCGAAAGCUAUUUAGGUAGCGCCUCGUGAAUUCAUCUCCGGGGGUAGAGCACUGUUUCGGCAAGGGGGUCAUCCCGACUUACCAACCCGAUGCAAACUGCGAAUACCGGAGAAUGUUAUCACGGGAGACACACGGCGGGUGCUAACGUCCGUCGUGAAGAGGGAAACAACCCAGACCGCCAGCUAAGGUCCCAAAGUCAUGGUUAAGUGGGAAACGAUGUGGGAAGGCCCAGACAGCCAGGAUGUUGGCUUAGAAGCAGCCAUCAUUUAAAGAAAGCGUAAUAGCUCACUGGUCGAGUCGGCCUGCGCGGAAGAUGUAACGGGGCUAAACCAUGCACCGAAGCUGCGGCAGCGACACUGUGUGUUGUUGGGUAGGGGAGCGUUCUGUAAGCCUGUGAAGGUGUACUGUAAGGUAUGCUGGAGGUAUCAGAAGUGCGAAUGCUGACAUAAGUAACGAUAAAGCGGGUGAAAAGCCCGCUCGCCGGAAGACCAAGGGUUCCUGUCCAACGUUAAUCGGGGCAGGGUGAGUCGACCCCUAAGGCGAGGCCGAAAGGCGUAGUCGAUGGGAAACAGGUUAAUAUUCCUGUACUUGGUGUUACUGCGAAGGGGGGACGGAGAAGGCUAUGUUGGCCGGGCGACGGUUGUCCCGGUUUAAGCGUGUAGGCUGGUUUUCCAGGCAAAUCCGGAAAAUCAAGGCUGAGGCGUGAUGACGAGGCACUACGGUGCUGAAGCAACAAAUGCCCUGCUUCCAGGAAAAGCCUCUAAGCAUCAGGUAACAUCAAAUCGUACCCCAAACCGACACAGGUGGUCAGGUAGAGAAUACCAAGGCGUUUGAGAGAACUCGGGUGAAGGAACUAGGCAAAAUGGUGCCGUAACUUCGGGAGAAGGCACGCUGAUAUGUAGGUGAAGUCCCUCGCGGAUGGAGCUGAAAUCAGUCGAAGAUACCAGCUGGCUGCAACUGUUUAUUAAAAACACAGCACUGUGCAAACACGAAAGUGGACGUAUACGGUGUGACGCCUGCCCGGUGCCGGAAGGUUAAUUGAUGGGGUCAGCGCAAGCGAAGCUCUUGAUCGAAGCCCCGGUAAACGGCGGCCGUAACUAUAACGGUCCUAAGGUAGCGAAAUUCCUUGUCGGGUAAGUUCCGACCUGCACGAAUGGCGUAAUGAUGGCCAGGCUGUCUCCACCCGAGACUCAGUGAAAUUGAACUCGCUGUGAAGAUGCAGUGUACCCGCGGCAAGACGGAAAGACCCCGUGAACCUUUACUAUAGCUUGACACUGAACAUUGAGCCUUGAUGUGUAGGAUAGGUGGGAGGCUUUGAAGUGUGGACGCCAGUCUGCAUGGAGCCGACCUUGAAAUACCACCCUUUAAUGUUUGAUGUUCUAACGUGGACCCGUGAUCCGGGUUGCGGACAGUGUCUGGUGGGUAGUUUGACUGGGGCGGUCUCCUCCUAAAGAGUAACGGAGGAGCACGAAGGUUGGCUAAUCCUGGUCGGACAUCAGGAGGUUAGUGCAAUGGCAUAAGCCAGCUUGACUGCGAGCGUGACGGCGCGAGCAGGUGCGAAAGCAGGUCAUAGUGAUCCGGUGGUUCUGAAUGGAAGGGCCAUCGCUCAACGGAUAAAAGGUACUCCGGGGAUAACAGGCUGAUACCGCCCAAGAGUUCAUAUCGACGGCGGUGUUUGGCACCUCGAUGUCGGCUCAUCACAUCCUGGGGCUGAAGUAGGUCCCAAGGGUAUGGCUGUUCGCCAUUUAAAGUGGUACGCGAGCUGGGUUUAGAACGUCGUGAGACAGUUCGGUCCCUAUCUGCCGUGGGCGCUGGAGAACUGAGGGGGGCUGCUCCUAGUACGAGAGGACCGGAGUGGACGCAUCACUGGUGUUCGGGUUGUCAUGCCAAUGGCACUGCCCGGUAGCUAAAUGCGGAAGAGAUAAGUGCUGAAAGCAUCUAAGCACGAAACUUGCCCCGAGAUGAGUUCUCCCUGACCCUUUAAGGGUCCUGAAGGAACGUUGAAGACGACGACGUUGAUAGGCCGGGUGUGUAAGCGCAGCGAUGCGUUGAGCUAACCGGUACUAAUGAACCGUGAGGCUUAACCU
rnacentral:rRNA from 1 species